rnacentral:rRNA from 1 species
GCCCUUUUCCGGUUGAUCCUGCCGGAGCCACUGCUAUCGGGGUUCGAUUAAGCCAUGCGAGUCGAGAGGUGCAAGACCUCGGCAUACUGCUCAGUAACACGUGGACAACCUACCCUGAGGAGGGGGAUAACCCCGGAAAACUGGGGAUAAUACCCCAUAGGCCAGGGAUGCUGGAAUGCCUCCUGGUUGAAAGGUCCGCCGCCUCAGGAUGGGUCUGCGGCCGAUUAGGUUGUUGUUGGGGUAACGGCCAACCAAGCCAUGAUCGGUACGGGUUGUGGGAGCAAGAGCCCGGAGAUGGAUUCUAGACACGAAUCCAGGGCCUACGGGGCGCAGCAGGCGCGAAAACUUUACAAUGCGAGAAAUCGUGAUAAAGGGAACCCCGAGUGCCCGUAAAUUCGGGCUGUCCAUCAGUUGUAAAAAACUGGUGAAGAAAGGGCCGGGCAAGACCGGGUGCCAGCCGCCGCGGUAAUACCGGCGGCUCGAGUGGUGCCCGCUAUUAUUGGGCUUAAAGCGUCCGUAGCUGGGUUGUUAAGUCUCCUGGGAAAUCCACCGGCUCAACCGGUGGGCGUUCGGGAGAAACUGGCAACCUAGGGACCGGGAGAGGUGAGAGGUACUCCAGGGGUAGGAGUGAAAUCCUGUAAUCUUUGGGGGACCACCUGGUGGCGAAGGCGUCUCACUAGAACGGCUCCGACAGUGAGGGACGAAAGCUGGGGGAGCAAACCGGAUUAGAUACCCGGGUAGUCCCAGCUGUAAACGAUGCGCGUUAGGUGUAUCGGUGACCACGAGUCACCGAGGUGCCGAAGGGAAACCGUGAAACGUGCCGCCUGGGAAGUACGGUCGCAAGGCUGAAACUUAAAGGAAUUGGCGGGAA